rnacentral:lncRNA from 10 species
UGACCUUCCCAAAGCCAUCUAAGAGUACAGAUAAAAAUGCACAGUGCAUGAAAACUGUGAAAUGGGAUCCCGCCACCAGCCAUGGUGGGGAGGAGCCUUUAAACACCACCCGGCUCUGACAUUCUUUCUUUAGGUGAUGAAAAUGAGCCCUGGAAGUCUUUGCAUGGGGCGCUGGGCAGGUAUGCCAGGGCAUGCAGGUGCACACCACUGACCCAGCCAUCCCUUUUCUAGGAAUCAGUCUUCAUGCAACUCUCAGCAACCUCUACUGAGAUCUCUGUUGAAGCAUUGUUUGCAAGAGCAGAUAAUCAGAAACCACCCAAAAAAUCAUAAAGAAGACAUUGGGCAAAUCAACAAUGGUAUGCUGAGAUUUGGAUUGCCAAAUUGACCUUGAAGUGAAGGAGGCAGAUUUGCUUGUAAUAACAAUGAAAGCGAUACAAGAUCUUCUAUUUGAAGUGCAGAAUGUCCCAUUCACCAUGAGACGCUGGUAAAUAAUGUUUUCAUUUUGUGCAGCAUGCCUCCAGUUGUGUAAAGAAUGUAAAAGGGAAAUGUCUCAAAACAGAAGAAGACGCCUGUGGGCAGCACCUUCUGCAGAGUGAUCCUGGGAGCUGGAAAGAAGACUCACUUUUCAUUUUACAACCUUGGGCACUGUAAGGAUAUUUUGGGCUUGGUAUGUGUGUUUUGUUGUUGUUGUUUUUUGUUUGUUUUAUUAUACUUUAAGUUUUAGGGUACAUGUACACAACGUGCUGGUUAGUUACAUAUGUAUACAUGUGCCAUGUUGGUGUGCUGCACCCAUUAACUCAUCAUUUAACAUUAGGUAUAUCUCCUAAUGCUAUCCCUCCCCCUCCCCCCACCCCACAACAGGCCCCGGUGUGUGAUGUUCCCCUUCCUGUGUCCAUGUGUUCUCAUUGUUCAAUUCCCAC